UGUAUGGUGAUGAAACCCAUGCGUGUCAACUGACCCUGGCAGCGCCCCGACGUGUCGAGGCCCAAGUCGGCGUUUUGCCGGCUGGGGUCGCCGGUUCGUCGGGGAUCCGGGGACGUGAUCAGACUCACUUUUCUGAAUACA